UUAUAAUGCUGGGGUUGUAGCUGGCCUUUCAA
rnacentral:rRNA from 1 species